ACAAGCAAAACCUGUGUCUCUUGCAAAGAGUGCCCCGUGUGCUGCUACAAAAUCCUUCUCAGAUUUAACAUGAUGACUCACGCAUACCCCCUACUUGGGUUGGCAUACAAGUUUUUGCUGACCCUGUCAAUAACUCAGGUAGCCUGUGAGCGGUCAUUUUCAACCCUCCGCUACAUCAAAAACAGACUGAGGAAUUGCCUGUCUGCCAGCAAACUGGAAGCCUUCAUGUUGAUGGCCACUGAAAAGGAUGUCCUUGUGUCCCUUGAUACUGACACAGUGAUUGACAGAAUUGCAGAGAGGAGUGAAUUAAUGAAGAAACUGCUUUUGUAAGAGUGCCCUUGCUGCUUUCAGUUGCUCCAGUUCGUAAUCUUCCAAUUUCAUUGCCUUGCUACAUAUUUGUUGUUGAGGAUUAUCAGAGGGCCAUUCAACAGUUUCUUAACCAGCUGCCCUGUCCCCCAGGGAUGUUCCAGGGAUGUGCCUUUCAUUGGUGUGGACUUCACAGGCAUUCAUCACAUUUGGCAUAUUUGGAGUGAAGAUUUGCCUUUCCCUGAUGUGGAGUUCACAUUUGUUCUUUUUUUUUCCAUU